AGCGAACGCUGGCGGCAGGCCUAACACAUGCAAGUCGAACGAACCCUUCGGGGUUAGUGGCGGACGGGUGAGUAACACGUGGGAACGUGCCUUUAGGUUCGGAAUAACUCAGGGAAACUUGUGCUAAUACCGAAUGUGCCCUUCGGGGGAAAGAUUUAUCGCCUUUAGAGCGGCCCGCGUCUGAUUAGCUAGUUGGUGAGGUAAUGGCUCACCAAGGCUACGAUCAGUAGCUGGUCUGAGAGGAUGACCAGCCACAUUGGGACUGAGACACGGCCCAAACUCCUACGGGAGGCAGCAGUGGGGAAUCUUGCGCAAUGGGCGAAAGCCUGACGCAGCCAUGCCGCGUGGAUGAUGAAGGUCUUAGGAUUGCAAAAUCCUUUCACCAGUGAAGAUAAUGACUGUAGCCGGAGAAGAAGCCCCGGCUAACUUCGUGCCAGCCGCCGCAGUAACAC
rnacentral:rRNA from 1 species